ensembl:lncRNA UBE2DNL ubiquitin conjugating enzyme E2 D N-terminal like (pseudogene)
AAAAUCUCCAACGCCGGACAGCGCGGCCUCGGUCACCAUACGCUACAGGCAUCCUGCAGGCCAUCGCGUGUGGUGGAGCGUCCGGCGCUUAUCGUGGCUCCGGGCCCGGUGCCGAGGACUGGCCGCCAAGGGUUGCGGACUAUGGCCCUAAAGCUCAUCCACAAGGAGUUCCUCGAACUGGCCCGCGACCCCCAGCCCCACUGCUCAGCAGGGCCAGUGUGGGACGAUAUGCUCCACUGGCAGGCCACCAUAACGAGGCCCAACGACAGCUCCUACCUGGGAGGGGUCUUCUUCCUAAAGUUUCCCUCCGACUACCUAUUCAAACCACCCAAGAUCAAAUUUACCAACGGAAUUUACCAUCAACGUUAACGGAAAUACGCGACAGGAGGGAGUAUGGCAGAAUAGCUAAAGACUGGACUCAGUAGUGUACCAUGUAAUUUCAAAAUAUAAUUCCAUCGCCUUAAUAAUAAA